AACUUGCGAAAAUACCACGGAGGAAGCUAACAAAAAAAUAAUUGAGCAACAUAAGGGGAUAAAGACUUAGGUGAUUUACUAGUUUUUGUUUUGGGUGAUUUACUAGUUUUCGUUUUCUUUCUCUU
rnacentral:ribozyme from 1 species